rnacentral:rRNA from 1 species
GUGUCAGCCGCCGCGGUAAUACGUAGGGGGCAAGCGUUGUCCGGAAUCAUUGGGCGUAAAGCGCGCGUAGGCGGCCCGGUCAGUCCGUUGUGAAAGUCAAAGGCUCAACCUUUGAAUGCCGACGGAUACUGCCGGGCUAGAGUCCGGAAGAGGCGAGUGGAAUUCCUGGUGUAGCGGUGGAAUGCGCAGAUAUCAGGAGGAACACCUAUAGCGAAGGCAGCUCGCUGGGACGGUACUGACGCUGAGGCGCGAAAGCGUGGGGAGCGAACAGGAUUAGAUACCCUGGUAGUCCACGCCGUAAACGAUGGGAACUAGGUGUGGGAGGUGUCGACUCCUCCCGUGCCGACGCUAACGCAUUAAGUUCCCCGCCUGGGGAGUACGGCCGCAAGGCUAAA